UACGUAGGUGGCAAGCGUUGUCCGGAUUUACUGGGCGUAAAGAGUGUGUAGGCGGUGCUCUAAGUUCGGUGUGAAAUCUCCCGGCUUAACUGGGAGGGUGCGCCGGAAACUGGAGUGCUCGGGCGUGGGAGAGGAAAGCGGAAUUCCUGGUGUAGCGGUGAAAUGCGUAGAUAUCAGGAGGAACACCUGCGGUGUAGACGGCUUUCUGGACCAUUGCUGACGCUGAGACACGAAAGCGUGGGUAGCAAACAGG
rnacentral:rRNA from 1 species